AUACGUAGGGUGCAAGCGUUAAUCGGAAUUACUGGGCGUAAAGCGUGCGCAGGCGGUUUUGUAAGACAGUGGUGAAAUCCCCGGGCUCAACCUGGGAACUGCCAUUGUGACUGCAAGGCUGGAGUGCGGCAGAGGGGGAUGGAAUUCCGCGUGUAGCAGUGAAACGCGUAGAUAUGCGGAGGAACACCGAUGGCGAAGGCAAUCCCCUGGGCCUGCACUGACGCUCAUGCACGAAAGCGUGGGGAGCAAACAGGAUUAGAUACCCUGGUAGUCCACGCCCUAAACGAUGUCAACUGGUUGUUGGGGAUUUAUUUUCUCAGUAACGAAGCUAACGCGUGAAGUUGACCGCCUGGGGAGUACGGCCGCAAGGUUAAAACUCAAAUGAAUUGGCGGGG
rnacentral:rRNA from 1 species